UACGGAAGGCAGCAGUGGGGAAUAUUGCACAAUGGGCGCAAGCCUGAUGCAGCCAUGCCGCGUGUAUGAAGAAGGCCUUCGGGUUGUAAAGUACUUUCAGUCGUGAGGAAGGUGUUAAGGUUAAUAACCUUAGCAAUUGACGUUAGCGACAGAAGAAGCACCGGCUAACUCCGUGCCAGCAGCCGCGGUAAUACGGAGGGUGCGAGCGUUAAUCGGAAUUACUGGGCGUAAAGGGCACGCAGGCGGUUAAUUAAGUUGGAUGUGAAAUCCCCGGGCUUAACCUGGGAAUGGCAUUCAAGACUGGUUAGCUAGAGUCUUGUAGAGGGGGUUAGAAUUCCAUGUGUAGCGGUGAAAUGCGUAGAGAUGUGGAGGAAUACCGGUGGCGAAGGCGGCCCCGUGGACAAAGACUGACGCUCAUGUGCGAAAGCGUGGGGAGCAAACAGGGAUUAGAUACC
rnacentral:rRNA from 1 species